CGGGGUGCACCAGGCGCGAAAACUUUACAAUGCGGGAAACCGUGAUAAGGGGACACCGAGUGCCAGCAUCAUAUGCUGGCUGUCCAGGUGUGUAAAAUACACCUGUUAGCAAGGGCCGGGCAAGACCGGUGCCAGCCGCCGCGGUAACACCGGCGGCCCGAGUGGUGAUCGUGAUUAUUGGGUCUAAAGGGUCCGUAGCCGGUUUGGUCAGUCCUCCGGGAAAUCUGACGGCUCAACCGUUAGGCUUUCGGGGGAUACUGCCAGGCUUGGAACCGGGAGAGGUAAGAGGUACUACAGGGGUAGGAGUGAAAUCUUGUAAUCCCUGUGGGACCACCUGUGGCGAAGGCGUCUUACCAGAACGGGUUUGACGGUGAGGGACGAAAGCUGGGGGCACGAACCGGAUUAGAUACCCGGGUAGUCCCAGCCGUAAACGAUGCUCGCUAGGUGUCAGGCAUGGCGCGACCGUGUCUGGUGCCGCAGGGAAGCCGUGAAGCGAGCCACCUGGGAAGUACGGCCGCAAGGCUGAAACUUAAAGGAAUUGGCGGGGGAGCACAAGGGCGAUUCGC
rnacentral:rRNA from 1 species